GAUGACGCUGGCGGCGUGCCUAAUACAUGCAAGUCGAGCGAACUGAUUAGAAGCUUGCUUCUAUGACGUUAGCGGCGGACGGGUGAGUAACACGUGGGCAACCUGCCUGUAAGACUGGGAUAACUUCGGGAAACCGAAGCUAAUACCGGAUAGGAUCUUCUCCUUCAUGGGAGAUGAUUGAAAGAUGGUUUCGGCUAUCACUUACAGAUGGGCCCGCGGUGCAUUAGCUAGUUGGUGAGGUAACGGCUCACCAAGGCAACGAUGCAUAGCCGACCUGAGAGGGUGAUCGGCCACACUGGGACUGAGACACGGCCCAGACUCCUACGGGAGGCAGCAGUAGGGAAUCUUCCGCAAUGGACGAAAGUCUGACGGAGCAACGCCGCGUGAGUGAUGAAGGCUUUCGGGUCGUAAAACUCUGUUGUUAGGGAAGAACAAGUACGAGAGUAACUGCUCGUACCUUGACGGUACCUAACCAGAAAGCCACGGCUAACUACGUGCCAGCACCGCGGUAAUACGUAGUGGCAAGCGUUAUCCGGAAUUAUUGGGCGUAAGCGCGCGCCGCGGUUCUUAAUCUGAUGUGAAACCCAAGGUCACCGGGGAGGGUCUUUGAAACCGGGGAACUU
rnacentral:rRNA from 2 species